UUGACAUCCAGAGAAUUUAGCAGAGAUGCUUUAGUGCCUUCGGGAACUCUGAGACAGGUGCUGCAUGGCUGUCGUCAGCUCGUGUUGUGAAAUGUUGGGUUAAGUCCGCAACGAGCGCAACCCUUAUCCUUUGUUGCCAGCACGUAAUGGUGGGAACUCAAAGGAGACUGCCGGUGAUAAACCGGAGGAAGUGGGGAUGACGUCAAGUCAUCAUGGCCCUUACGAGUAGGGCUACACACGUGCUACAAUGGCGUAUACAAAGAGAAGCGACCUCGCGAGAGCAAGCGGACCUCAUAAAGUGCGUCGUAGUCCGGAUUGGAGUCUGCAACUCGACUCCAUGAAGUCGGAAUCGCUAGUAAUCGUAAAUCAGAAUGUUACGGUGAAUACGUUCCCGGGCCUUGUACACACCGCCCGUCACACCAUGGGAGUGGGUUGCAAAAGAAGUAGAUAGCUUAACCUUCGGGAGGGCGUUUACCACUUUGUGAUUCAUGACUGGGGUGAAGUCGUAACAAGGUAAGCGUAGUGCU
rnacentral:rRNA from 1 species